CCUGAGCCUUUUUGGGGGGUCGGGGUGGGGGGCUCGAGGGGGGGGUGGCCCUGACACCCCCCCCGCCCCCCCAUUCCCCCCUUCGCAGCCCCGCAGGGCCUGGGGGGGGGCGAGGGCUUUGCUGGACUCCUGGGACCCCCGGACUGGGCACCCGACGGGGUGCGAUGCUACCAGGACCCCAACCACUAUUUCAGGGGUGCCGAGUUGCCUUUCCCUGGGGUCCCCCCAUGGCCGGGGGGGUCCCUGGGGGAGGCGGGGGGGGGCUGUGAGCUGAACCCCCCCUGGGCAGGGGGCACCGCCCCCCCCGAGGCCCCCCCGGCCCCCCCCAGCGGAGACCGGACCCCCCAGUACCGGAGCCGCCUGGGCCUGGGGGGGGGCCCCCCCCCGCUACCGCCCACCCCCCAUGUUGAUCCGGGGCGUGAGGGGCCGGGGCUGUUUGGGGGCUGCCGGCGGGGGGCAGCCCCCCCGGGGCCGCCGACCCCCAACGCCUCUCACCUCCGCAGAUCAACGUGGGCCCCGGGUUCCAGGCAGCUGUGCCGGCAGCAGCGGGGGGGGGCUGCGGGCAGGACCCCCCCGGGGGGGCCACGCUGGCCUGGAGCCCCUGGCCCGGGCUGGAGGGGGACCCCG